UAAAAGCUGUUGGGUUUGGCUAGGCAGCCGGAUCCAACACUAUUGGGUCUUGCUGGGCAGUCGAACCCAAAGCUAUUGAGCAGACCCAUAACAUCCAAA
rfam:Populus trichocarpa scaffold_1_contig_734, whole genome shotgun sequence.